rnacentral:rRNA from 1 species
UAAAUUACGAAAGUAAAAAAGAAGAAAAUUCGUUAAAAUAUCUGCCUAUGUCAGGAUUUGUUGUUGUGGGGUAAUGGCCUACCAAAGCUUAUAUUCUGUAGUUGGUCUGAGAGGAUGAUCAGCCACAUUGGGACUGAGAUACGGCCCAAACUCCUUCGGGAGGCAGCAGUGGGGAAUAUUGGACAAUGGAGGAAACUCUGAUCCAGAGACACCGCGUGAGUGAAGAAUGCCUUAAUUGGUUGUAAAGCUCUUUUAGUAAAAGAAAUGAUGAUUUUUUACAGAAAAAGUACCGGCUAACUCUGUGCCAGCAGCCGCGGUAAUACAGAGGGUACGAGCGUUGUUCGGAAUUACUGGGCGUAAAGCGUAUGUAGGCUGCAAUAUAAGUUUGGUGUAAAAGUUUGAGGCUCAACCUUAAAAAGUCACUGAAUACUGUAUUGCUAGAGAU